AAUGACGCUGGCGGCGGCUUACACAUGCAAGUCGAGCGGAGAGAGGUAGCUUGCUACUGAUCUUAGCGGCGGACGGGUGAGUAAUGCUUAGGAAUCUGCCUAUUAGUGGGGGACAACAUUUCGAAAGGAAUGCUAAUACCGCAUACGUCCUACGGGAGAAAGCAGGGGAUCUUCGGACCUUGCGCUAAUAGAUGAGCCUAAGUCGGAUUAGCUAGUUGGUGGGGUAAAGGCCUACCAAGGCGACGAUCUGUAGCGGGUCUGAGAGGAUGAUCCGCCACACUGGGACUGAGACACGGCCCAGACUCCUACGGGAGGCAGCAGUGGGGAAUAUUGGACAAUGGGCGCAAGCCUGAUCCAGCCAUGCCGCGUGUGUGAAGAAGGCCUUAUGGUUGUAAAGCACUUUAAGCGAGGAGGAGGCUACUUUAGAUAAUACCUAGAGAUAGUGGACGUUACUCGCAGAAUAAGCACCGGCUAACUCUGUGCCAGCGGGCGCGGUAAUACAGAGGGUGCAAGCGUUAAUCGGAUUUACUGGGCGUAAAGCGCGCGUACCC
rnacentral:rRNA from 1 species